rnacentral:rRNA from 1 species
UACAGAGGGUGCGAGCGUUGUCCGGAAUCAUUGGCGAAGAAGCUCGUAGGCGGCCGGUUGCGUCUGCUGUGAAAUCCCGGGGCUUAACCCCGGGCGUGCAGUGGAUACGGGCUGGCUGGAGGCAGGCAGGGGAGAAUGGAAUUCCUGGUGUAGCGGUGAAAUGCGCAGAUAUCAGGAGGAACACCGGUGGCGAAGGCGGGUCUCUGGGCCGAUACUGACGCUGAGGAGCGAAAGCGUGGGGAGCGAACAGG